UACGGGGGGGGCAAGCGUUGUCCGGAUUUACUGGGCGUAAAGAGCGCGCAGGCGGUCGUUCAAGUCGCGUGUGAAAGCCCCCGGCUCAACUGGGGAGGGUCACGCGAUACUGAUCGACUCGAAGGCAGGAGAGGGUAGUGGAAUUCCCGGUGUAGUGGUGAAAUGCGUAGAUAUCGGGAGGAACACCAGUGGCGAAGGCGACUACCUGGCCUGUUCUUGACGCUGAGGCGCGAAAGCUAGGGGAGCAAACGGG
rnacentral:rRNA from 1 species